AAAUUGAAGAGUUUGAUCAUGGCUCAGAUUGAACGCUGGCGGCAGGCCUAACACAUGCAAGUCGAACGGUAACAGGAAGCAGCUUGCUGCUUCGCUGACGAGUGGCGGACGGGUGAGUAAUGUCUGGGAAACUGCCUGAUGGAGGGGGAUAACUACUGGAAACGGUGGCUAAUACCGCAUAACGUC
rnacentral:rRNA from 10 species